rnacentral:tRNA from 1 species
AGCCCCGUGGUGAUUCACACCAAAGUGCAAAUUUGGAGACGCACCCUUUAAGUGCCGGGGCUU